ACCUUUGGCUUUAGAGCACUGGUCCGUAAAACCAAAGGCCCCGGGUUCGAUUCCCGGCAAGGGUG
rnacentral:tRNA from 1 species